CCUACGGGAGGCAGCAGUGGGGAAUAUUGGAUAAUGGGGGCAACCCUGAUCCAGCCAUGCCGCGUGUGUGAAGAAGGCCCUCGGGUUGUAAAGCACUUUCAGUGAGGAAGAACGCCUGGUGGUUAAUACCCAUCAGGAAAGACAUCACUCACAGAAGAAGCACCGGCUAACUCCGUGCCAGCAGCCGCGGUAAUACGGAGGGUGCGAGCGUUAAUCGGAAUUACUGGGCGUAAAGCGCGCGUAGGUGGCUUGAUAAGCCGGUUGUGAAAGCCCCGGGCUCAACCUGGGAACGGCAUCCGGAACUGUCAAGCUAGAGUGCAGGAGAGGAAGGUAGAAUUCCCGGUGUAGCGGUGAAAUGCGUAGAGAUCGGGAGGAAUACCAGUGGCGAAGGCGGCCUUCUGGACUGACACUGACACUGAGGUGCGAAAGCGUGGGUAGCAAACAGGAUUAGAUACCCUGGUAGUC
rnacentral:rRNA from 1 species